AGGCUCUGGAGGCUGGAGUUGAG
rnacentral:misc_RNA from 1 species